GACGAACGCUGGCGGCGUGCUUAACACAUGCAAGUCGAACGGAAAGGCCCUGCUUUUGUGGGGUGCUCGAGUGGCGAACGGGUGAGUAACACGUGAGUAACCUGCCCUUGACUUUGGGAUAACUUCAGGAAACUGGGGCUAAUACCGGAUAGGAGCUCCUGCUGCAUGGUGGGGGUUGGAAAGUUUCGGCGGUUGGGGAUGGACUCGCGGCUUAUCAGCUUGUUGGUGGGGUGGUGGCUUACCAAGGCUUUGACGGGUAGCCGGCCUGGGAGGGUGACCGGCCACAUUGGGACUGAGAUACGGCCCAGACUCCUACGGGAGGCAGCAGUGGGGAAUAUUGCACAAUGGGCGGAAGCCUGAUGCAGCAACGCCGCGUGCGGGAUGACGGCCUUCGGGUUGUAAACCGCUUUCGCCUGUGACGAAGCGUGAGUGACGGUAAUGGGUAAAGAAGCACCGGCUAACUACGUG
rnacentral:rRNA from 1 species